AUGAAAGUCAAUGGGAUUUUUCUGAUUUUUAACAGUCUUUUUUAGGAAAACCAGAGAAGUUGAGCAAUCCCCACCUGUAUGACGAGGUAUCUCUGAGGGUCUCGAGCCAUGCGGCUGAACUCUGCAGCGAGUUCUUUAAACCGAGGCCGACUAUCAGCAUCAAUCAUCCAGCCUGGAGGUGAAGACAGAGCAACAUGUCAUAGAUACACAAAGAAAUUCAACUUCUCAGCAGUCGAGCAAGUCCAAAAUCAGUGAUCUUGAUGUGGUUUGGAGAUUUUACCAGGACGUUACGAGCCGCGAGGUCCCUGUGCACCAGCCGCCUCUCCUCCAGGUACAUCAUACCCUG